rnacentral:rRNA from 1 species
UACGAAGGGGGCUAGCGUUGUUCGGAAUUACUGGGCGUAAAGCGUGCGCAGGCGGCUUCUCAAGUCAGGGGUGAAAGCCCAGAGCUCAACUCUGGAAUUGCCUUUGAGACUGAGUGGCUUGAGUACGAGAGAGGUGAGUGGAAAUUCCCAGUGUAGAGGUGAAAUGCGUAGAUAAUCUGGAGGAACACCGGUGGCGAAGGCGGCAUCCUGGACCAACACUGACGCUGAGUGAGCGAAAGCCAGGGGAGCAAACGGGAUUAAGAUGACCCGUGUAGUCCAGCAAGCAUCUCUCUCCGAU